GUUAUGAAAGAAACAUAACACCAACUACGUUGGAUAAAAUUCUAGAUAGAAUACUGAUUAUGACUAUUUUCUAUCUACAUGUCUUGACCAAAUUACGUGCCAGCAGUCGCGGUAAUACGUAGAAGACUAGUGUUAUUCAUCUUUAAUAGGUUUAAAGGGUACCUAGACGGUAUUAUUAACCCAUAACAGGGAAAUAUUUUUACUAGAGUUUUAUAUAAGAAGGGAGUAUUUACGGAGUAGAGUUGAAAUUCUUUGAUACCCUAAGGACUGGUAAUGGCGAAAGCAUCCUUCUAUGUAAAAACUGACGUUAAGGGACGAAGGCUUGGGUAGCGAACAGGAUUAGAUACCCUAGUAGUCCAUGCAGAUAAUGAUGAAUGCCAUAGACUAGAUAUUUUUUAGUUUAUAAAUGAAAGUGUAAGCAUUCCACCUCAAGAGUACUGUGGCAACGCUGGAACUGAAAUCAUUAGACCGUUUCUGAGAACAGUAGUGAAGUAUGUUAUAUAAUUCGAUAGUCCUCGUAAAACCUUACCACAACUUGAAUGGUGUCCAGAGUUAAUGUAAUAUUCUUUGAAUAGCUGCCUAGUUAAUAUUAAAACUUUAUUUUGUUAGGUAGAUCUGAUCAAGAUAUUAUAUUGGGCUAACUCCAUUAUUAUAAUGGGCUGGCUCAUUGAAGGUCAUUAAAUAUUAUACUUCCUCCCCCCCCCUUCUUAGAGGAGGCCACUUCUCGACCGAAGGCGGAAGGCAAGAGGAGUAUAUAAUUACCUUUACUAACAGAGAUGUUACAAGUGUUGCACGGUUGUCUUCAGCUAAUGUCGUGAGAUUUUGGUUAGUUCCAUAAAAUUAGCGUAAACCCCGGUUUUAUUUUUUAAUUAUUAUGAUAAAGCAG
rnacentral:rRNA from 1 species